AUUGAACGCUGGCGGCAUGCUUUACACAUGCAAGUCGAACGGCAGCGCGGGCUUCGGCCUGGCGGCGAGUGGCGAACGGGUGAGUAAUACAUCGGAACGUGCCCAGUAGUGGGGGAUAGCUCGGCGAAAGCCGGCUUAAUACCGCAUACGACCUGAGGGCGAACGCGGGGGAUCUUCGGACCUCGCGCCUUUGGAGCGGCCGAUGGCAGAUUAGCUAGUUGGUGGGGUAAAGGCCUACCAAGGCGACGAUCUGUAGCUGGUCUGAGAGGACGACCAGCCACACUGGGACUGGGACACGGCCCAGACUCCUACGGGAGGCAGCAGUGGGGAAUUUUGGACAAUGGGCUAAAGCCUGAUCCAGCAAUGCCGCGUGUGUGAUGAAGGCCUUCGGGUUGUAAAGCACUUUUGGCGGGAACGAAAAGGACUGUGCCAAUACCACGGUUCGAUGACGGUACCCUCAGAAUAAGCACCGGCUAACUACGUG
rnacentral:rRNA from 1 species